rnacentral:rRNA from 1 species
CCUACGGGUGGCAGCAGUGAGGAAUAUUGGUCAAUGGCCGGAAGGCUGAACCAGCCAAGUCGCGUGAGGGAAUAAGGCCCUAUGGGUCGUAAACCUCUUUUGUCAGUGAGCAAAGGCGUCCACGAGUGGACGAAAGGAGAGUACCUGAAUACAAAUCAUCGGCUAACUCCGUGCCAGCCGCCGCGGUAAUACGGAGGCUGCGAGCGGUAUCCGGAUUUAUUGGGUUUAAAGGGUGCGUAGGCGGAGUGUCAAGUCAGCGGUAAACUUUCGGGGCUCAACCCCGUCGUGCCGUUGACACUGACACCAUUGAGUGAGUGAGAAGGAAGCGGAAUGCGUGGUGUAGCGGUGAAAGGCAUAGAGAUCACGCAGAACGCCGAGUGCGAAGGCAGCUUACCGGCGCUCAACUGACGCUGAGGCACGAAAGUGCGGGUAUCGAACAGGAUUAGAUACCCUUGUAGUC